CGACCGGCGCACGGGUGAGUAACACGUAUGGAACCUGCCCGCAGCAGGGGGAUAAGCGGAAGAAAUUCCGUCUAAUACCGCGUAACAAUGUUGGGAGGCAUCUCCCGAUGUUUAAAGAUUUAUCGGCUGCGGAUGGCCAUGCGGCGCAUUAGCUAGUCGGCGGGGUAACGGCCCACCGAGGCGACGAUGCGUAGGGGUUCUGAGAGGAAGGUCCCCCACACUGGUACUGAGACACGGACCAGACUCCUACGGAAGGCAGCAG
rnacentral:rRNA from 1 species